AAUAGAUACCCCGGUAGUCCACGCCGUAAACGAUGCGCACUAGAUCAGGGGACGGUUCUGACACCAUUCCGGAUCGAAGCAAAAGUGAUAAGUGCGCCGCCUGGGGAGUACGGUCGCAAGGCUAAAACUCAAAGGAAUUGACGGGGGCUCACACAAGCGGUGGAGCAUGUGGCUCAAUUCGAAGCAACGCGAAGAACCUUAUCCUGGGUUUGACAUGCACGGAUUAGCUCCCUGAAAGGGGAGUAAGGCUCGCAAGAGUACAACGUGCACAGGUGCUGCAUGGCUGUCGUCAGCUCGUGCUGUGAAGUGUCGGGUUAAGUCCCUUAACGAGCGCAACCCCUAUCGCUAGUUGCCAACAGGUCAAGCUGGGGACUCUAGCGAGACUGCCGGUGUUAAACCGGCGAAGGUGGGAUGACGUCAAGUCCGCAUGGCCUUUAUGCCCAGGGCUGCACACGUGCUACAAUGGCAGAUACAGAACGACGCAAGCCGCAAGGUGGAGCAAAUCGAUAAAGUCUCG
rnacentral:rRNA from 1 species